UACGUAGGGGGCUAGCGUUGUCCGGAAUCAUUGGGCGUAAAGAGCGUGUAGGCGGCCCGGUAAGUCCGCUGUGAAAGUCGGGGGCUCAACCCUCGAAUGCCGGUGGAUACUGUCGGGCUAGAGUGCGGAAGAGGCGAGUGGAAUUCCUGGUGUAGCGGUGGAAUGCGCAGAUAUCAGGAGGAACACCAAUAGCGAAGGCAGCUCGCUGGGACGGUACUGACGCUAAGGCGCGAAAGUGUGGGGAGCAAACAGG
rnacentral:rRNA from 1 species